AAGCGCGCGUAGGCCGUUGAGUUAGUUAAUUGUGAAAUCCCAAAGCUUAACUUUGGAACUGCAAUUAAAACUGCUCGACUAGAGUUUGAUAGAGGAAAGCGGAAUACAUAGUGUAGAGGUGAAAUUCGUAGAUAUUAUGUAGAACACCAGUUGCGAAGGCGGCUUUCUGGAUCAACACUGACGCUGAGGCGCGAAAGUAUGGGUAGCAAAGAGGAUUAGAUACCCUCGUAGUCCAUACCAUAAACGAUGAUUGCUAGAUGUUAGAAAUUUAUUUUCAGUAUCGCAGCUAACGCAUUAAGCAAUCCGCCUGGGGAGUACGACCGCAAAGUUAAAACUCAAAUGAAUUGACGGGGACCCGCACAAGCGGUGGAGCAUGUGGUUUAAUUCGAAGAUACGCGCAGAACCUUACCAACCCUUGACAUGUCUGUCGCGAGUUUAGGAAACUAGACUUUUCGGUUCGGCCGGACAGAACACAGGUGCUGCAUGGCUGUCGUCAGCUCGUGUCGUGAGAUGUUGGGUUAAGUCCCGCAACGAGCGCAACCCCUACUUUUAGUUGCCAUCAGGUCAUGCUGGGCACUCUGAAAGAACUGCCAGUGAUAAGCUGGAGGAAGGUGGGGAUGACGUCAAGUCCUCAUGGCCCUUACGGGUUGGGCUACACACGUGCUACAAUGGUAGUGACAAUGAGAUGCAAAGUGGCGACGCUAAGCUAAACUCAAAAAUCUACCUCAGUUCGGAUUGCACUCUGCAACUCGAGUGCAUGAAGCUGGAAUCGCUAGUAAUCGUAGAUCAGCGUGCUACGGUGAAUACGUUCCCGGG
rnacentral:rRNA from 1 species